UAGUACUCCCUUCUUCAGUCCUUGCUUCAGUAAAAGGGAAAAAAAAGCUAGUUCUUAGUCUAUAUUUUGUAGUUUUAGCAAAAAAGCAUAUCGCUAACAGUUGUCGAUAAAACAACGGUUUAGUGUACCUUUUCGGGGCAAUUCUGUUUUAUUAUAUGCUGGAUGUUUAUUUUUGAUGUCAUAAUCAUAUCAACACUGCCAAGUUGGGGUUGUGUAUGUUUUUCACUUUUCAUAUUUUUUUUGUUUUGCCAUUUUAUGUCUUGAUCUGAGAAUCUCCAGAACAAAUAUCACUUGAUUGCACCACUUCCAGGUUUUCUUUCCAACAUACCUUAACAGAUCAAAUGUAAUAUUUGACGAAUGAAAACCAUUUUGCUAGGAGUCUCUCUAAUUAAAUCGGAUCAUGACCAACACGAUCUUCUUCUUUUGAUUAAGAAGAAUGAUUCAUCUUUGAUUUCAGCCUUGGUUGGACAUUUUACGUGUUAUCUUGAGACUUGUACAUGGAAAAAACUGUCUUUUUUAGGCCAAGCUAAAUGAAUAUAAGAUCUCUCUUCUAGUUUCUAGAAAAGGUUCUUACCUUCUAGGUCCUAUGUUACAUGAAAAAGGUGCGAGCAUCUGAUAGAAGGGGUGGAUCACAGGUACAAUUUUGAGAUACUUCUAAUAAAUGUAUCUAUAUAAAUGUGUACAACGACAACAUACCCAGUAUAUUCCCACAAGUGGGUCUGGGGAGGGUAGAGUAUAUGCAGACCUUACCUCUACCUUGGUAGGUAGAGAGACUGUUUCUGAUAAACCUUGGCUCAAGAAAGGCAUUUCAAAGAAGGUCAGUCUAGAAUUAACAAUAGAAGUAAAGAAGUCAUCAUAAAAUAUAAAAGAAAACAUAACAAAUCAUUAUAUAGAAAAGAAACAGUAACUGCAACAACUAAAAUGAUAAUUGGAAUACAAGAGACAGCAAAUAGUAGAAGAAAUCGAAAGGCAAUAAGCUACAGGAUAACGCUACUACUAGUAUGGGAAGUCCGCGUGACAUCGUUUUACUACCUACUAACCGUCUACCCUAAUCCGUGUCCUCCAAAGUCUCCUAUCUAAGGUCAUGUCCUCGGUAAGCUGCAACUGCGCCAUGUCUUGUCUAAUAAUUUCUCCCCAAUACUUCUUCUCUGAGUGUUCCAGAUCCCCCAGCACUUCUAUAUAAAUGUGUGUGAUUGUUUUAUACUCGAGUUGCCACCUGAAGGAUCGAUGAACGUUAUUGUUUUAUACUCGAGUUGCCACCUGAAGUAUUGAUGAACAUUCCUCUGAUUAACACAAACUGGAAAAUUAAUCGCCAUCGUGAAAGCUAUUUGGUUUUGUGUCCUAUUUUUCAUCUCUUCCAGUGAGAUAAAAGCUCCAGAGAAAGGCACUUUCUCAGUUAGAAGUUGUUCAAUCUUGUCGUUGUUCUUAAAGUCCGUUGAUUCAUGGGAUCACAAGGAAGAUCAUGAACGGUCAGAAACUAUGCAAUCUCAAAAUUUGGAUGAAGAUUUCCAAACUCAGUUCUUUGUCACCGUGUAUUGCUUUGUCCGUUCUUGGAGUUUCUAACCACCCUGCAAUUUGAUAGGUAAUACUGAUGAAGGUAGUCGUUUUCCAAAUCCCUAGAGUAUGGAUAUUAAAUUUCCACAUUCCUACUUCAUUUUUUCUGUUUGUAUUUGUUUUUAACAUCUAAAAGCAUCAGAGCAAUGAAUUACCUGGCCUCAACUAUUACCAAGUUUUAAAUUUUCUUUGUUUUUUCUUGAUCAAGAUUUUGAUAACAAUAUGUUCUUAGCUCAGUAGGCGAAAGGAAGGUCGUGCUAACAUUCUGCAUUAAAUAGACAAUCUGCUCGAAUGUGGUCUGUCAGCAAACUUGUGUUGAUCAAGGAAGAGGUGUUUCGGGUUAAUGAUUGUAUCCAAUAUGUGUCGAUAAAGUUUGGUUAUCUUGAGUAAGGCGGAUGUAAUUUUCAAGUCACACAGCCGUCUACAUUCUCUUCCUUGAGAUGAAGCAUGCCUCGUUGUGCAUGGAACAUACAGCUCCAAUGAAACCCAAAGAAUUUGGACAAAGCUCAACGAUUUCCUGGGAAGGGAAAAGUUUUCGAAGGUCUCUUUAGCUCAAGUCGAGAAGGAAAAGCUGUUGAAGCUUUAAGUGGUAUUUAUUCUUAUUUUGGAUUGAACAUCAGGACUAUGGCUUUUAAUAGCUUGUACUGUUCGCUUCGUGCCUAGGCUCACACGACUUUAAAAUAUGUCACUUGCCGAUCGACGUGGUAUUUGCCUAUGAUGUUAAAAUGACAUCCUUUUUACUCUAAAUACGUCUUGGCCAACGGAAAGAAAAAGAUAACAUGAUUAUUGGACUUUCUGUAUUGAGUUAUCUGAAUUUCUGGACGUGAAUGGUUUAGAGAAAACUGUAAAUGCACUGUAAAAUGUAUAAGCAACAAGGGAGACUUUGAUGCGAGAAAUAUGUUGCAUAAUUUCUUAAUGUUGUUAUUUCUGCCAAGUUACUGAUUUUCUGGCAGGGAGAGUGAUUGGAGUAAUAUUUAUCAUGCGUUUUAGUAGAGUAUAGUCACAUUUUGUGCUCACUACGGAAAAAAUAUCAGAAAUUAGUUGUAAAGUUCAUUACUAAUCUAUCGUGAAAUAGCCUGCAACUAAUCAGAUCUGUUCAUAAUUCGUCGCUUAAUCUGUUGAUCAUUUGAAAGCAUUUCUCUAAUUUGCAUGCCUUACAUUUCAGCUAAUACAAAGUUUCAUGUAGGGCAUGGUAUCCGUUUCCUUUUUUCAUUCAGUUUUUUUUUUCUUUCUCUUUUGUAACUAGUAUCGG